rnacentral:rRNA from 1 species
AUUGAACGCUGGCGGCAGGCCUAACACAUGCAAGUCGAGCGGCAGCGGGAAAGUAGCUUGCUACUUUUGCCGGCGAGCGGCGGACGGGUGAGUAAUGCCUGGGAAAUUGCCCAGUCGAGGGGGAUAACAGUUGGAAACGACUGCUAAUACCGCAUACGCCCUACGGGGGAAAGCAGGGGACCUUCGGGCCUUGCGCGAUUGGAUAUGCCCAGGUGGGAUGAGCUAGUUGGUGAGGUAAUGGCUCACCAAGGCGAGGAUCCCUAGCUGGUCUGGGAGGAUGAUCAGCCACACUGGAACUGAGACACGGUCCAGACUCCUACGGGAGGCAGCAGUGGGGAAUAUUGCACAAGGGGGGAAACCCUGAUGCAGCCAUGCCGCGUGUGUGAAGAAGGCCUUCGGGUUGUAAAGCACUUUCAGCGAGGAGGAAAGGUUGAUGCCUAAUACGUAUCAACUGUGACGUUACUCGCAGAAGAAGCACCGGCUAACUCCGUGCCAGCCGCCGCAGUAA